rnacentral:rRNA from 1 species
CCCAGACUCCUACGGGAGGCAGCAGUGGGGGAUAUUGCACAAUGGGGGGAACCCUGAUGCAGCGACGCCGCGUGGGUGAAGGAGCGUUUCGGCGCGUAAAGCCCUAUCGGCAGGGAAGAAGGAGGACGGUACCUGACUAAGAAGCCCCGGCUAACUACGUGCCAGCAGCCGCGGUAAUACGUAGGGGGCAAGCGUUAUCCGGAUUUACUGGGUGUAAAGGGGGCGCAGACGGCAGCGCAAGCCAGGAGUGAGAGCCCGGGGCCCAACCCCGGGACUGCUCUUGGAACUGCGCGGCUGGAGUGCAGGAGGGGCAGGCGGAAUUCCUGGUGUAGCGGUGAAAUGCGUAGAUAUCAGGAGGAACACCGGUGGCGAAGGCGGCCUGCUGGACUGCGACUGACGUUGAGGCCCGAAAGCGUGGGGAGCAAACAGGAUUAGAUACCCUAGUAA